rnacentral:rRNA from 1 species
UGGGGAAUCUUGCACAAUGGGCGAAAGCCUGAUGCAGCAACGCCGCGUGCGGGAAGACAGCCCUAGGGUUGUAAACCGCUUUCAGCAGGGAAGAAACUGACGGUACCUGCAGAAGAAGAUGCGGCCAACUACGUGCCAGCAGCCGCGGUGACACGUAGGCAUCAAGCGUUAUCCGGAUUUAUUGGGCGUAAAGAGCUCGUAGGCGGUUCGGUAAGUCGGGUGUGAAACUCUGGGCUCAACCCAGAGAGGCCACUCGAUACUGCUGUGACUAGAGUGCGGUAGGGGAGCGGGGAAUUCCUGGUGUAGCGGUGAAAUGCGCAGAUAUCAGGAGGAACACCAGUGGCGAAGGCGCCGCUCUGGGCCGUAACUGACGCUGAGGAGCGAAAGCAUGGGUAGCAAACAGGAUUAGAUACCCUGGUAGUCCACGCUGUAAACGAUGGUCACUCGGUGCUGCGGGUAUCGACCCCUGCAGUGCCUUAGCCUAAGCGCGUUAAGUGACCCGCCUGGGAGUACGGU